rnacentral:rRNA from 1 species
GACGAACGCUGGCGGCGUGCCUAAUACAUGCAAGUCGAGCGGACGGAUGGGAGCUUGCUCCCAGACCGUCAGCGGCGGACGGGUGAGUAACACGUGGGCAACCUGCCUGUAAGACUGGGAUAACUCCGGGAAACCGGGGCUAAUACCGGAUAACUUUUUCCCUCGCAUGAGGGAAAGCUGAAAGAUGGCAUCUCGCUAUCACUUACAGAUGGGCCCGCGGCGCAUUAGCUAGUUGGUGAGGUAACGGCUCACCAAGGCGACGAUGCGUAGCCGACCUGAGAGGGUGAUCGGCCACACUGGGACUGAGACACGGCCCAGACUCCUACGGGAGGCAGCAGUAGGGAAUCUUCCGCAAUGGACGAAAGUCUGACGGAGCAACGCCGCGUGAGUGAUGAAGGUUUUCGGAUCGUAAAACUCUGUUGUCAGGGAAGAACAAGUACCGGAGUAACUGCCGGUACCUUGACGGUACCUGACCAGAAAGCCACGGCUAACUACGUG